GCCUAGCCCUAAACCUUGGUAAUAUAUCACAUACCCUACCCGCCUGGGAACUACGAGCACCAGCUUAAAACCCAAAGGACUUGGCGGUGCUUUAGACCCCCCUAGAGGAGCCUGUUCUAGAACCGAUAACCCCCGUUCAACCUCACCCUUCCUUGUUUAUCCCGCCUAUAUACCGCCGUCGUCAGCUUACCCUGUGAAGGCCUAAAAGUAAGCACAACUGGCACAACCCAAAACGUCAGGUCGAGGUGUAGCGCAUGGAGGGGGAAGAAAUGGGCUACAUUCCCUAUGUUAGGGAACACGAACGGCGCACUGAAACACGCGCCUGAAGGAGGAUUUAGUAGUAAGCGGAAAAUAGCGUGUUCCACUGAAAUCGGCCCUGAAGCGCGC
rnacentral:rRNA from 4 species